CUUUAUUGGAGAGUUUGAUCCUGGCUCAGGAUGAACGCUGGCGGCGUGCCUAAUACAUGCAAGUCGAGCGAAUGGAUUGAGAGCUUGCUCUCAAGAAGUUAGCGGCGGACGGGUGAGUAACACGUGGGUAACCUGCCCAUAAGACUGGGAUAACUCCGGGAAACCGGGGCUAAUACCGGAUAACAUUUUGAAC
rnacentral:rRNA from 1 species